rnacentral:lncRNA from 1 species
UUUUACUUUCCUUGAAUGGUCCAACCUAGUAGUUAUGUACAGUGUACUGUUAGCUGGCAUGGUGGCCUUUGUACCAUUUUGUUUUUAUUUUUUACUCUGCCAUUAGACAGUACUACCUCUGCAUGUAUUGUUUACAUAUAUGUUUUUUGGUCAUUUUUAUCAUGCUUUCUAUUGGUUUUGUUAAUUUUCAGGCACAGUUUUCACAAGUACGGCCAGUAGCAAUGGUGCCUACUGCUGGUACUCGUUUUCCCAUGUACCCCCCUGGUGCUCCUGGUGUGGGGCAACAUAUAUUUUAUGGUCAAGCACCUCCUGGCCUUAUUCCACCACAGGUAACUAUUAUAUUGUUGUUAUGUACUUUGAUUUAUUUAUUUUUUCAGUCAACAGUGCUUACAAAAAAAUUUAAUGCUUUUCUUCCAUGCACAACCCCUUAAUGAUACACCUUAUGUUGAUUGACUGUCUUGAGUGUCUUCAUUAUAUGCAAUAUUAAUAUAAGAUAUCUUGAUGAAGCGUAAUAUUGAUGUUAAAAAAGAAAACUCAUAUUUCUUGGGAUUAUUUAGUUUUUAUCUUAAGAUUUGAUUUGGCCGAAAGUUAAAGAAAAAGCCCACGAUCAUCAUUCAAGCUGUUAUUUAAUUUGGUGAGUAGUGAUAACUCAAUGAUGGUUAAUAUGCAUGUCAUAUAACAUCCAUUAUAAUGCUUAAUAACAGGUUUGAGCAUCAAUUUUCCAAUGUAAUUGAUUUUUUUUUUUCCUGUUAUGAUUUUUUUUAUAUUUCAAUGUGAAAGACAUUGCAGCAUUAUGGUUCUCGGACAAAGUUGGAGAACAUGGAAAAAUGGGGAUUGGAAGUUUGAUAUGCUUAAUGUUGAUGAAUUUAGCUGCUUGCCCCACUUAACAGAAGACCACUUGUAUGCCAUUUCCAUUAUGUUACAAAAGGUGCAUUAAGCACUUUCUGAGAUGAUCAGGCAAGGACGAGGACAUGAAGGACACCUUCUCAUUAUAUUAACUAUUUGUCUUUUCUACGGCAAUGUAACAACUAGCAUUUUUCAUAAUCUUAACUAUUGAAAACCAUUUCUAGCAUUUAUGUUGAGGCUGCUUCUUUCCAGCUCAAAUCUUUGUCAAAUCUUGUCAGGGCUUUUGACCCAAUGAUGAGAUUAGUGUGAAAAUAGAUGGAUAGCUUUGACGAUAUGAUGCUUAAGGAAAAUAUGCAAUUUGCAGAUGCUUUUUCUUUUUUAUAUUGGAUGAGUUUUGAUCUAUUGAUCUAUUCUUUUUUGUCAUUGCCAAAUAUUUGGAUGCUAUUGGAAAUCUAAUCUUCAUAUCAUUACAUUUCAGAUUGAUAAAUUGUUAUUGUGCACUGGGUUGAUUGAUGUUGUAAUUUUUUAUAGUUCAUAAAUUAGCACCAAUACUUAUUAAUCUUUAAUUGCAUUCUCAAAAUUCUACAAUUUCAUCUACAGCCUGGAUUUGGUUUCCAACAACAGCUUAUUCCUGGAAUGCGGCCCACAGGGGCACCUAUGCCAAAUUUCUUAGUGCCCCUAGUCCAACAAGGUCAGCAGAUGCAUCGCCCAGGAGGUAGGCGUUCUGGAGUAGGACCUAGACAACAAAUGCAGCAGUCUAUGCCUCUAGUUCAGCAACAGGUCUGCGAUCAUCCUCUUUGCAUUCGGAGAUGUUUUUCCCUUUCUGACCUUUUGCAAUAUUAUAUUUAUAUGGUAUAUUUCAGCAAUAUUCACAUAAUUGCAACUGGUUGUAAAUAAAACAUGAUAAAACAGGAGAGGUGUUGAAUGGGUUAAGAUCCACAUUGUGUUUUAAAUUGGUUUUGCACUAGUUCUGAUUUAUUUGAGGGGGUGAGGCAACUAGUUAUAUAUGUGGUAGAUACUGAUUUGUUAAAAAUUAACUGACUGGUCAGGUAGAUGCCUGAAAUGAGCAGUUCUAACCUCAUUAGAGGCAUCUGAGUGCUGGAUUUGCAAAAAGCAUCACGGAAAGAUCAAGCACAUUGUCACACUUUUCGAUGAUAAAAUUAAGCAUGCAUGAUAAUAGAUGGAGGAGAGUACAGAUGGGAUCCAUGCUUACACUGAGAGACAUAGGGUGCGCAAGUAUGGUCCAUCUAAAUUUUGAGCUGUGCACAGCUGUAUGUCUGAUGUGUUUUACUUCUCGAUUUCUCAUCAAUGAAAUCUGAAAUAUUGCUAUAUGAUGGUCUGGUGCUUGGUCCACUUUGUUGAUUUUUCUGCCUGCAUGAUUUGGAGCUACGCAAUAUGAAUUGUUACUUUGUCGCAAAUGCAGUAAUUUUACUUCUUGAUUGUUCCAGUGAUCCUGAUUUGUAUAGUGCAAAAUGUGUAUUCAUAUUAUUUUUUGCCAAAAUUGGAUAGCAGAUGUUUCCAAGGGGCCGUGUCCAGCGCUACCCUCCUGGACGCAACAUGCCUGAUAUUCCAAUACCAGGUGUUGUUGGAGGGAUGCUAUCUCCCUAUGACAUGGGAGGUUUGCCCAUGCGAGAUGCUCCUAUGUCACAACCUAUUCCCAUUGGGGCAUUGGCUUCAGCCCUUGCAAAUGCUACUCCUGAGCAGCAAAGGAUGGUAUGUCUUUUCACUAGAUGCAUCUCCUACCAGUUACCGUGUGCAACUUUUUUUCUUUGUAUAUGUUUUUAAACUGUUAUGCCAUUCUGUUAGUAGUACAUAUUUGUUGGGAUAACAUGUCUCACACAUAUUAUAUUAUGCGGCAGAGUAAUGUUUGUUUCUUUAACUAAAACCAGCACCAAACUAUGGGUAAAAAUGAGUGAACCUCCUGAAACUCCAUGGCCAUACAUGGCCCAUCUCCCAGCCACUUGAUGGUCUCUGCAUUUUCAGAUUGACCGAAUCCAUCUCUGGGCUUGAAAUCCUUGUCACUUGCUUUCCUGUGGAGCCUAUCACUGACCACAAAUUGUUCAGGAUGCAGAUAUUAUGCUCAUAUAUUUGAAGUAUACCAUUAUGCUUGGUCAGUGGGGACUAUCUUAAUGUCCCAUGAUCAGUUACUGUGUUUGAUUUGUGAUUCUGAAAUGAUCCACUGAUAAUGAUUCAAAUGUUUUUCCUGUCUAGAUGCUGGGUGAGAAUCUGUACCCACUAGUUGAGCAACUCGAACAUGAUCAUGCAGCCAAAGUUACAGGGAUGCUACUGGAGAUGGACCAGACCGAGGUCCUGCAUCUGCUGGAAUCUCCAGAUGCCCUGAAAGCGAAAGUUGCAG